ensembl:ncRNA F28C1.10 ncRNA
GCAGUAUAAGAAAAAGAAUAAGGAAAAGAAAACGACAAGGAAAAGGAGACGCGCACAUCACGUAUAGGGCCCAGAGUGAGCGUGAUGGUGAGUGAGCGUGUGAGUGAGAGUCGAGAGAGUGCGAGUGUGCCA